rnacentral:rRNA from 1 species
UGAGGAAUAUUGCGCAAUGGGCGAAAGCCUGACGCAGCGACGCCGCGUGGAGGAUGAAGGUCUUUGGAUUGUAAACUCCUUUUAAGCGGGAAGAAAAGCUUAUCUCUAAUACAGAUAAGUCUGACGGUACCGCUAGAAUAAGCACCGGCUAACUUCGUGCCAGCAGCCGCGGUAAUACGAGGGGUGCAAGCGUUAUUCGGAAUAAUUGGGCGUAAAGGGUGCGUAGACGGUAGACUAAGUCCGUUGUUAAAUUCUUCGGCCUAACCGGAGAUCAGCGAUGGAAACUAGUCUGCUAGAGGGUGAGAGAGAGAAGUGGAAUUCUCGGAGUAGCGGUAAAAUGCGUAGAUCUCGAGAGGAACACCAAUGGCGAAGGCAGCUUCUUGGCUCACUCCUGACGUUGAGGCACGAAAGCGUGGGGAGCAAACAGG